ACAACCAUAUCACGUUGAAACACCGGUUCUCGUCCGUAUUACCGAAGUUAAGCAACGUCGACUCUGGUCAGCACCUAGAUGGGUGACCGAUCGGGAAUACCAGGUGCUAUA